UACGAAGGGGCUAGCGUUACUCGGAUUGACUGGGCGUAAAGGGCGCGUAGGCGGCUUGUACAGUCAUACGUGAAAUUCCUGGGCUCAACCUGGGGGCUGCGUUUGAUACGUAUGGGCUUGAGUUCGGAAGAGGGUCGUGGAAUUCCCAGUGUAGAGGUGAAAUUCGUAGAUAUUGGGAAGAACACCGGUGGCGAAGGCGGCGACCUGGUCCGAUACUGACGCUGAGGCGCGAAAGCGUGGGGAGCAAACAGG
rnacentral:rRNA from 1 species